rnacentral:rRNA from 1 species
AAUGAACGCUGGUGGCGUGCCUAACACAUGCAAGUCGGAUGUGCCGCAAGGUGCAUGGCAGACGGGUGAGUAACGCGUGGGCAAUCUACCUUUUAGUGGGGAAUAACGAUCCGAAAGGAUUGGUAAUACCGCAUGUGAUCAUCGACUGGGAUGUUGGUGAUGAAAGCCGGGGACCGCAAGGCCUGGCGCUAGAAGAGGAGCCCGCGUCUGAUUAGUUAGUUGGUGGGGUAACGGUCUACCAAGACAUCGAUCAGUAGCCGGCCUGAGAGGGUGAUCGGCCACACUGGAACUGAGACACGGUCCAGACUCCUACGGGAGGCAGCAGUGGGGAAUUUUGCGCAAUGGACGAAAGUCUGACGCAGCAACGCCGCGUGGGUGAUGAAGGUCUUCGGAUCGUAAAACCCUGUCGUCGGGGACGAAGGUGGGCUUGUUAAUAGCGAGUUUACUUGACGGUACCCGGAGAGGAAGCCCCGGCUAACUCUGUGCCAGCAGCCGCGGUAAUACAGAGGGGGCAAGCGUUAUUCGGAAUUAUUGGGCGUAAAGGGUGCGUAGGCGGUCGUUUAAGUAGGAUGUGUAAUCCCCGGGCUUAACCUGGGAACUGCAUCCUAGACUGGACGACUUGAGUACUGGAGAGGGUGGUAGAAUUCCACGUGUAGCGGUGAAAUGCGUAGAGAUGUGGAGGAAUACCAGUGGCGAAGGCGGCCACCUGGACAGUAACUGACGCUGAGGCACGAAAGUGUGGGUAGCAAACAGGAUUAGAUACCCUGGUAGUCCACGCUGUAAACGAUGAACACUUGGUGUGGUGGGAGUUGACCCCUGCCGUGCCGGAGCUAACGCGUUAAGUGUUCCGCCUGGGGAGUACGGUCGCAAGGCUG